ACUCCCCAACUAUUCUCGGAUUGCUGCCAUUGACGACAACACCUCCUAUAAAAAGAAAAUCCAAAACAAUAUUAGAAAUAAAUCCAAUAUUCCUUUUCUUUUCUUUCCAUUAUUUUCCUCCCAAAUAGAGGGGAAAAAAAUUUCUAGGGUUUUCCGCACCCUGACCUAACCCCCACCCUCCAAUUCCCAAGAUUUUACCCCCAGAGAACCCUAAUUUUUAACUUAAUUCGAUUUUAUUGAGCUUUAAUUGUUCGAGGAGGGUUUGAACUUUUUCGUUGGAUUGCAUUGUUCUGGAUUUUGAGUGAGGAGUUAGGACUAUUUUUUUUCCUGAGUAUUUGAAGAGAUGGCAGAGGCAGCGAAAGAAGAAGAGGUGGAGUACGAGAGCGAUCCGGAGGAGACGAAGCUGUCGUUGAAGAUGCGGAGGAGGGAGGCGAGCGAUGAUGAGGAGGAAGAGGGUGGAGAUGGGGAGGAUAGCGAGAGGGGAGAGGCCUUUAAGCCGCGUAGGAGAAUCGUUGACUCCGACGUUGAGUCGGACGGUCAAGGGGCUGCGGCAGAAUACGAGGACGAAGAGGAGGAGGAGGAGGACUAUGGCGAGGAGGAAGAGGAUGAAUUAAUUGACGAGGAAGACUACGCGGAGGAGGAUGAGGUGUAUGUGGAAGAGAGAAGGGGUGAAAUUGGAGAAGUUGAGGCGGUGGGGAAGGAGGCUGAGGCGCAGGUGGACGGACGAAAAGAAAGCCGUGAGGACAGAGUGGGACCCAAGUCAAUUGAAGGGCUACAAGGAUCCAUUGACGAUGGUCAUUUUGAAGACGGUGCAAACGAGAAUCAGCAGGGGGAAGAGAUGGGGGAAGAGAUAGGGGACGAGGGGGAGAAGAAAGAGAUCGAGCCAUAUGCUGUACCUACUGCUGGGGCUUUUUAUAUGCAUGAUGACAGGUUUCGCGACAAUGCUGGUGGAAGAAACAGGCGGACUUUUGGUGGUAGAAAAUUGUGGGAAUCAAAGGAUGACAAGAAAUGGGGUCAUGACAAGUUUGAGGAGUUGACUAUGCAGGAAAGGCAUUUUGAUGAGGGUCGGAGGAAUUCAAGAGGGAGAUAUCGAGGUCGAGGUAGGAAACGAGGUGCAGAACGGGGCGGAUAUGUAAGAGGAAGCAGGCCAAGGGCAUAUAACACUAAUAGCAAUCAAAAUAAGAAUAACAAUCAGAAUAAUGCGCUGAAAAGUGUGAGGGGACGAGGACCUAGAAGGUAUCAGCCAUCUUUUAAGAGCAACGACGAAGUGCGUCCUGCCCUUAACCAACAGUCUGGAAAGAUAGCUGAGAAACCAUUGAAUGCUAAUGCUGGGAGAGUAUCUGCACCUGCAUCAAAUGUGGAAUCUGAAGUAGCUCCUGCUAAAAAACAUGUUUUUGCCUCAAGUUUGAAUUCAGCUUCACCUCCAUUUUAUCCCUCUGCCUCUACCUCUAGCUCUAAAGAGAUUGCUGUAACGCAGAAGAGGGAUUUACAACCUGGGACAAAUAACCGUCGGAUCCAUCCUGUUGUGGAUGAAAAUUUUUCUACAGCACAAUCCAGUGCAGUCCAACGAGGAAAGAGUGUAGUUGAUUCUAUUGGCAUGGAUAAACUUUACAUCAAUGAUUCAAUUGCCACAGUUGCUGGGAAAUCUUCAACCACUUUGCAGUUUCCACCAGGAUCCUCAUCAAUGAGUUCUAGUCAGUCUCCGCAGCUGAGGGCUCAAGGUAGAGGAAUAAAUAACUUGCCCCAAGUGACCUACCAAUCAACAGGGCCAAAUAGCCAGGGCAAUAGAAUCUCUCCCCCGUCCCAGGUCCAUACUACUACUCAGCGGAAUCCUGUUCAAAACCGAGGACAACCAUCUCUGCAAACUUCUGGUCAGCAGUUGGCUCAGAAUCCAGGAGGUGGAUCUCAAGAUUCUUCUCCAAAAGCAGUUAUUAACAAAAGCUCUUUUGAAUCAGCAGAGACAGAACCUCUUUCAGAAUCAAACAAGUCUAAGGCUGCAUUGAUGGCAAAAGGAAAAGGCAGUGUUCAGGGUAGUGGACGGGGAUCCUUUUUGUAUGGUGGAGCUCAAGUUAUUGGGGCUUCUGGCAACCUAGGAAGUGGUCCUGGAGAUCAAAAUUUCCCUGCCUUCUUGCCAUUUAUGCAAUUUGGGGGCCAGCGUCCAGGUGGUAUUGGAGUUCCUGCUGUUGGCAUGGCCUUCCCGGGAUAUGUUGCCCAACCCCAAAUUGGUGGUUUAGGGAAUUCUGAGAUGACUUGGCUACCUGUUUUGGCUGGUGCUGCCGGAGCAUUGGGUGCUUCUUAUUGCUCGCCAUAUCUUGCUAUGGAUGGCUCUUAUCAUGCACGCCCAUCUGGACAGGCAUCUUCACCGGCUGCUGCUUCAAUCAAAGAAAAUAAUGCUGACAAGCCCAAUAACGAAUGGAAUCCCUCACAGAGGCCUGAGGUCUCAAAUGAUGAUUUUGUACAGCAACAAAAGAAGCCCAUCAGAUACUCAGAGAUGAAAUUUAACCAGUGAAGUUACUAGAUAGGUGGACCUAGUUUAAAUAAGCUAUCAAGUUGUACAUUUUCCCAAGCAAAAUAUUUCAUUUGUGGGUGUAGCAAAAUUUGAGUACUACUUAUGGUGCUGCAGGCCUCCUUCCACGCCCUCUGUUGUCUCCAGUUGUUGAUCUGGUGCACUUUGGGCUGCCAUUGUACUCUGAAGUACUUUAGGUAUUAUGUGACAAACACCCUCCUUAUGCUGCUUUAUUCAAAGAAAAACAACACAGCUUGACGGGUGGUAGUUCAAUAUUCUAAUAGGCGGUUCUUUUGGCUUGGUUUUUAUCAUGAAGCGUGUGAGAAGUGUAUCUGGCUUCUUGAAAAAAAUUUAUGGAAAAGAACAAGAUAUUGUUGUGCAGCAGCUGUUUGCCUCGUGAGACUAAGGUUUUUUGUUCUUCUAUUGGAUGGUUGUGGUUGUCUUUUUUGGUUCAUUUUAUGAUUAGUUGUCGUAAUUUUUGAGAAAUUUACUGAUGGUGCGAGGGUACAUUUGGUGAAUGGAUUCUUAUAAAGUGAGAAAAAAAAUUGUAUUUGCUAUAAUGUUUUGUAAUAUUAGUUUUGCUUACAAGGACUUGGUGGCUAUAUUACUUUGUUCAA